rnacentral:lncRNA from 1 species
UGCUUUGGUCAAAGACUUUCUAAACUCAAUCUCGCAAAUCACAUAGGACUUCUUCUUUUCCAUCAAGAUCGAUAGAUUCUAUCUAGAUGCAUCUUACUCCAAAUAGUGAAUCAGAACCUACUGAAGCCAACAUACACAGCAAGGAUCGGAAUGACUAGAGACCAAAAAAAUAUACAGUCAAACUCAGUAGCCUCACUGUGAAUAGCUAAUGGCACC